UGCAAGUCGAACGGGCGUAGCAAUACGUCAGUGGCAGACGGGUGAGUAACGCGUGGGAACGUACCUUUUGGUUCGGAACAACACAGGGAAACUUGUGCUAAUACCGGAUAAGCCCUUACGGGGAAAGAUUUAUCGCCGAAAGAUCGGCCCGCGUCUGAUUAGCUAGUUGGUGAGGUAACGGCUCACCAAGGCGACGAUCAGUAGCUGGUCUGAGAGGAUGAUCAGCCACAUUGGGACUGAGACACGGCCCAAACUCCUACGGGAGGCAGCAGUGGGGAAUAUUGGACAAUGGGGGCAACCCUGAUCCAGCCAUGCCGCGUGAGUGAUGAAGGCCCUAGGGUUGUAAAGCUCUUUUGUGCGGGAAGAUAAUGACGGUACCGCAAGAAUAAGCCCCGGCUAACUUCGUGCCAGCAGCCGCGGUAAUACGAAGGGGGCUAGCGUUGCUCGGAAUCACUGGGCGUAAAGGGUGCGUAGGCGGGUCUUUAAGUCAGAGGUGAAAGCCUGGAGCUCAACUCCAGAACUGCCUUUGAUACUGAGGAUCUUGAGUUCGGGAGAGGUGAGUGGAACUGCGAGUGUAGAGGUGAAAUUCGUAGAUAUUCGCAAGAACACCAGUGGCGAAGGCGGCUCACUGGCCCGAUACUGACGCUGAGGCACGAAAGCGUGGGGAGCAAACAGGAUUAGAUACCCUGGUAGUCCACGCCGUACACGAUGAAUGCCAGCCGUUGGGAAGUUUACUUUUCAGUGGCGCAGUUAACGCUUUAAGCAUUCCGCCUGGGGAGUACGGUCGCAAGAUUAAAACUCAAAGGAAUUGACGGGGGCCCGC
rnacentral:rRNA from 1 species